rnacentral:lncRNA from 1 species
UACAAUAUGCUAAAGACUACUAUACAAGAUAUUGAAUUAAAAAAAUAAAAAAAUUUCAGAACCGCCAGAACCUGAAUCGCCAGAACCGGAAUCGCAUGGUACCUGAAACCGUCACGGGCUGGUUCCACCUUCAGAUCCGCCAGAAUCGGAACCGCAUGGUACCUGAUACCGUCACGGGCUGGUUCCACCUUCAGAUCCGCCAGAAUCGGAACUGCCAGAACCGGAACGCCAGACCCAAAUAGACCCAGAUUCGGAAACCGGAUACAGACUUAACUCUUAGUGAAAAUUUCCAGUUUGUUGUUCGUGUUCGCAGAUAUGAUGCAAGGAAUAAUAGACUUACAUCACGAUUUCCUCAUUCUGAUUUUGGUUUUCGUAUCAUGGAUCUUGGUUCGCACUUUAUGUUAUUUCUACUAUAAUAAAUUGAGAAAUUCAUGGGUAAGAUUGAGAAAACUUGGGCCACUUCCAUAAUUUUGCUCUUAACUGCGCAGGAAUA